AUGAGACUGGCUUUGGGUAUUGAAUUUCUAUCUCAUGCUGUACUUUGCAUCCAAGCAAGGAAUGCUUGCCCAUGCUGUACUCAGAGAAGGCUGGGAUGCUCUAUGCUGCUGGCUGCAGUGCUGCAGGGUUCGGCUACAGGUUUGACUCCUUGCCUGCAAGGGAUGCUGAGGGGAGGUCUGCUAUCAUUUCUCCCUAUUGAGAGGCUCUUGCUGCUACAGAAUUAAGGAUACGUGUAUGGUGCUACAGUUAUUCCAGGUGUGAGGGUUUGCACAUGCAAAAAAGGCAAAGAAGAGCCUAAACUGAUCCUACAAUUUCAAUUUUAUAGGUUUAGUUAUUUGCUGCAUUGCAUGAAGUCUAAUAUUGGUAGCAACCCCACUCAGCUCUUUUUGAGUAUACUGAUGACAAGCAGCCCCUAGCAGAAACUAAAAGCUGGAGCACCGGGAGGCAGUAGUGCAAUUACUGGUCACUUAAUUAACACCAAGUCCUGCAAAGUUGCUUGUUAAUGUGAGAUGGCCUUCUGAAACGUGCCUACUUGGACUAGAGAAACUUCUUAAGUAGGAAGUUCGAAGCAAUCGUUUAAGGUUUAUUCCUGCAAAAGAGUAAUUGUAGUGUUUUUGUGGUGGUGGUGGUUGUUGAUAUUCCACGUCAUAACAGCAUGUAAUGUGCUGGUAGUUAAAGAGUUAAUGUUCUGGUUCUGCAGGUGGUCCUGCUGUCCCUCUAUCAGGGACACAGAUCUAGAGAUAACUCCGUGACAGUCAUGUUUAAUCACUGCUUGCCCUGCUUUGUUAGCUUGACACCGUGUCUUACAUUUUCUCCUCCUCUGCUUUGUUUCCUUGGUGUGCAUCAAUAUCCCCCCCACCAACCAUGUGCACAAAUGACUGUGUGCAGCUGUGAGCUUACCUUCUGGCUGUGAUUCACUGAGCUGCCACACAACUUGUGCUAUUUAUCUGAGGCAGGGUUUGUCAGCAUUCAUCAGAAAUUCACCUCGUUGUCUCAAAGAAUGCAGCACCUCACCCAAGAUGGCCUGGUGCAAACCUGAAGGAUAAGUGCAGUAGUUGAUACAAUAUUUUGCAGGUUGCUAAUGUUUUCCAGCUGUCAGGGUUUUGUGUACGACUAUGUUUUAGUACAGGCAGUAUUUGGAGGAAAAAAACAUCCCACCCUGUUGACCCAUAACCAAUACAAGUUCCCUCCUAAGUCCCACUGGUUCUGGAACUUUUGUAGUGAACUGUUGUAAGUAACCAAGUGUCAGGUAGCUUAGAUCUGCAUCUUUCAUGUUUAUCCUAAGCAUGAAUAAACUCAUUUUUUCUAAUUCUAUUUUCCA
rnacentral:lncRNA from 1 species